rnacentral:lncRNA from 1 species
ACCAUUGGGAAAUCCUCGGCUUCGAAACUCUUUUAAAUCACAUUAACAAACAAUCAACUCAAACCAUUUAAAAUCUAACAUCAAUCUCUAGCUAGUUACGAAGACACGAUUAACAUCAGCAACGAAACAUCUUUAAGUGCUAUACAAACUGGGCUAAGUCAUAGGGAAAAAGAAUGAAAACAAAAGCAACCACUUGAGUUAUAUCACAUUUAGACGGGUAAAGUCACGAAAAUCAAAUCCCUCAAUGCAU